GUGGGGAAUUUUGGACAAUGGGCGCAAGCCUGAUCCAGCAAUGCCGCGUGCAGGAAGAAGGCCUUCGGGUUGUAAACUGCUUUUGUACGGAACGAAACGGUCCGGGUUAAUACCCUGGGCUAAUGACGGUACCGUAAGAAUAAGCACCGGCUAACUACGUGCCAGCAGCCGCGGUAAUACGUAGGGUGCAAGCGUUAAUCGGAAUUACUGGGCGUAAAGCGUGCGCAGGCGGUUUUGUAAGACAGGUGUGAAAUCCCCGGGCUCAACCUGGGAACUGCACUUGUGACUGCAAGGCUAGAGUGUGUCAGAGGGAGGUGGAAUUCCGCGUGUAGCAGUGAAAUGCGUAGAGAUGCGGAGGAACACCGAUGGCGAAGGCAGCCUCCUGGGAUAACACUGACGCUCAGGCACGAAAGCGUGGGGAGCAAACAGGAUUAGAAACCCUAGUAGUCC
rnacentral:rRNA from 1 species